CUUGCUUCUCUUGAGUGCGGCGGACGGGUGAGUAAUGCCUAGGAAUCUGCCUGGUAGUGGGGGAUAACGCUCGGAAACGGACCUAAUACCGCAUACGUCCUACGGGAGAAAGCAGGGGACCUUCGGGCCUUGCGCUAUCAGAUGAGCCUAGGUCGGAUUAGCCUAGUUGGGUGAGGUAAUGGCUCACCCAAGGCGACGCAUCCGUAACUGGUCUGAGAGGAUGAUCAGUUCACACUGGAACUGAGACACGGUCCAGACUCCUACGGGAGGCAGCAGUGGGGAAUAUUGGACAUGGGCGAAAGCCUGAUCCAGCCAUGCCGCGUGUGUGAAGAAGGUCUUCGGAUUGUAAAGCACUUUAAGUUGGGAGGAAGGGCAGUAACCUAAUACGUUAUUGUUUUGACGUUACCGACAGAAUAAGCACCGGCUAACUCUGUG
rnacentral:rRNA from 1 species